AUCCAGCUGACGCGUCCCAAAUAGGAUGAAACUCAGGUCAAACUGGAU
rnacentral:hammerhead_ribozyme from 1 species